rnacentral:rRNA from 1 species
AUUGAACGCUGGCGGCAGGCCUAACACAUGCAAGUCGAGCGAGCGGCGGACGGGUGAGUAAUGUAUGGGGACUGCCCGCGAUAGCGGGAGAACUCCACGAGACGGUAGCUAAUACCGCAUACUAUCGGAUAACCCAUAUGGGAUUAGCUAGUAGGUGAGUGAAUGGCUCACCUAGGCGACGAGCCCUAGCUGGUCUGAGAGGAUGAUCAGCCACACUGGGACUGAGACACGGCCCAGACUCCUACGGAGGCAGCAGUGGGGAAUAUUGCACAAUGGGCGCAAGCCUGAUGCAGCCAUGCCGCGUGUAUGAAGAAGGCCCUAGGGUUGUAAAGUACUUUCAGCCGGGAGGCGUUACCCACAGAAGAAGCACCGGCUAACUCCGUGCCAGCAGCCGCGGUAAUAC